GUGCACGUGUAGCUAAGGAAGUCGAUCACAAGUUUUGUUUAGGUUGGAUUUAACAAAAAGGAUACUUUAAAGUUGUUUUGUGAACCCAAAUUUAUUUGGAUUAAAGUGGAAUUCGGUUGAAGCAUUCAUCUAUUCAGAUUCAAUGGACUGUUUUCCUAUCUAAAUUCCACAUUUGAUUGGAACUAAAACAAAAAAAAUAUUCCUUUAUACAACACAAGUUCCACAGUAUCUUGAGGGUGAGAAUUACGUCUUUUCGGGCGGUCGUGAGGUCAUCAAUGUCUUCUCAAUUCUUUGCAUAAUAGAGCAUUUUUCGUA